CGAGGAGACAGAGAAGUUGUCCUGCAGCGCGCAGGCCGCUGUCCAGCCCCCUGGAGCCUCGGGGCCAGAGAUGGGGUGUCAGCCGGAGUCCAGGGGGGCCCCGGGCCAUGGAGGAGCGGCUCGGACGAGGGAAGCGGCCUGACAGCAGGGG